GAGGCUUUAGGCAGCCCCAAGAAAAUAUCAAUUUCUAUGAUUUUUAUAAACUUACACUUUGGAAAGGUUGGCAAAUUGAUAGACAAUGAAUAAACGCAUUUAGAAUUCAAAGUUGACAUUCAUAUUAUGGCCUCAAUUUAGCUAGGAAGACCCUGGCCUCCAUCUUGAAAACGGAAAAUAAAAACAGCAGACCUAUGAAGGUCGAAGGGGAAGAAAAGCUGUAUCGAUUGUUGAGAUCUGGCGACUUGUUUAAAUUUCAUCAGCCUCACUUCUAUGAACUCUCAGAGCUGAUUACCAACUCCUACCACUGUUAACCCUCAUCCAGGAACAAGCUUAUGUCUUUAACAUUCUGAGUGGGCUUCAGCAUCCUUGCAUAUGUUCAAUUCUUAAAAACCUGUUGAAAUAAAAGAUCAGGAGACAUAGGAAGGAUGCCAGAAGAGAGCGUGGCCUCACGUGUACCAGCUCUCUGCUCUCCUUUGCCUUGGGACGUUCCAUCCCUGGAAGUUUCCCUGCCCACAUCUUUGUAGAGAGUCCAUUCUCCAAGCUUCAGUGUGUCAUCUGUGAGGACCGUGACCCACCUGGUACAUCGCCUCAGGGCAUUCAUUUCAGGCUCCUUCUAAAUGGCCAAGUUUUCAAGAUUGUUUUGGCUCUAGCAAAACAAGUUGGAACAUUCACAUCAUCCAAGCUGCAGCAAGCUGUUCGUCAGAGUCAUCUUUGGUGACUAUCUGCCUACAGGCAUUCCUUUGCACUCUGGGUGUAGCCCUCAGUGCUGGGCUUACAAAGAAGACGACACAAAAGCAACCAUGAAAAGAUCUUGGAAGCAGAGGGAUCUGCAGAAGUGCUUGCAACACUUUCAGCCUUAACCAGCAUCAGAGACAAAAAUCCUUUCUGGAAUGAGCCUCUCAGGAACCUCUAGUGUUUGUGAAGUUCCUCAGGAAAUCUGAGGACAAGUGAGUUUGGAAAUGACACUGAGGGAUGGGGAAACAGGACUGCUGAUGAAGCUGACCAUCCUCAAGCCAGCUGCCAUAUUGGGAGCCAUCCUUCAGAAAGGCCUACUUGGCCAGCAACUGAGGGAAGCUUCAAGCCAGUGGCCAAUGAGAAACUAAGGCCCUCAUGCCAACAGCUUGAGGAUAAUUGAAUCCUGCCAGCCACCAUAUGAGAGACUUAGAAGUGGAUCCUUCCCGGUAGCGCCUUCAGAAGACACUGCAACCUUGUGGGAAAUCUCAGGCAGAGACAUCCAUCUAAGCUGCACCUGGAUAUGCAUGUGACAGAAGAUAAUAUGACAAAUGUUGUUAAAGCCACUAAAAUUUUAGAGUUAUUUGUUGUGCAAUAAUAGAUAACUUAUACAGCUGUGGUGCCAGGAGUUGGGUUUGAAACCCCUGAAACUUUCUAUAUUUUCUACAUUAAGAAGUAAUAUCUCUUACA
rnacentral:lncRNA from 1 species